AACGCACCUUGCGCCCUUUGGCUAUUCCGAAGGGCAUGCCUGUUUGAGUAUCAUGAACACCUCAACUCUCAUGGUUUGCCAUGAUGAGCUUGGACUUUGGAGGUCUUGCUGGCCUGUGGUCGGCUCCUCUCAAAUGGAUCAGCUUGCCAGUGUUUGGUGGCAUCAUGGGUGUGAUAACUAUCUACGCCUGUGGUUUUCUACCAGAUAACCUUCAGUGAUGGAGGUACGCUGGAGCUCAUAAAUGUCUCUCCUCAGUGAAGACAGCUUUUUGAACGUUUGAUCUCAAAUCAGGUAGGACUACCCGCUGAACUUAA
rnacentral:misc_RNA from 2 species